CAGACUUAGCAAGUGGUGGUGCCUGACCUCAGAGCAUGGAUCUUUCCUUCUCUGCAACUUCUGAGAUCUCAGGAAAGGUCUGAUAUCCAGGACCAGAUGCCCGGAAGUAACAGGCCAAGAACACACCAGAGAAUCUUAAAGGACCAAAGACUCCAGGAGCGCGCCUGUGACUUCUGCCUUGAAGUGUGGGUGGCUCUGAGGAUGACCCUGAGAAGCUACCUGCCUGACUGUCCAGUGUUCUCCUAGCGACCUCGGGAUUCAUUUCAGCUACAAGUUUCAUUCAGUGGCCGGCGGUGUUAAAAUGCACAUGGCCACUCUCCUCUUCUUUGCUGCACCUCUGCAUCCCAGAUCAAACAAUGGUGACUCUAACUUUUUAACGAGUUCCUCACGGGUCUACAGCUAUGCCAUCCUGGUAUUCCCAAUC